ensembl:lncRNA
GAGAGAGAGGGGGUAAGCGACAGAAAGAGAGCGAGAGAGAAGGAGAGAGAGAGAGAGAGAGAGAGAGCGUGCGUACGAGGCUUCAUGUAAAACCAGAUUAAAAACACAAGAUGGCUUCCUGAAUGGGCUGCCGGAGCACAGACGAAAUAGAGCGAGAGACAGAGAAAGAAGAGAGGAGAGACAGAGAGAGAGAGAGAGACAGAAGAAAGAAAUAGAGUGAUAGAGGUGAAGACGAGAGGGAGUCGGGAGACUUCUGAUGGGGAUUCGGACAACAGACGAAGGAGUACAAACCAAGGCAGCUCAGAGGCUUGCAGGGCUGUGAAGGUGGAAUAUUCUGAAGACAACAGUCGAGGCAUUUUGGGAAAUCCUGAACUGGCAGCUAAGCUAUCUGCUCACCGACUGGCAACUCUGUCUGGACGCCUAGGACCAUACUGUUUGCAAAGUCACGUCAGUGGAUG